GACGAACGCUGGCGGCGUGCCUAACACAUGCAAGUCGAGCGGAGAUAUUAGCAAUAGUAUCUUAGCGGCGGACGGGUGAGUAACGCGUGGGCAACCUGCCUUGAACUGGGGGAUAACACAGGGAAACUUGUGCUAAUACCGCAUAAUAUCGUGAUGUGGCAUCACAUUACGAUCAAAGGAGCAAUCCGGUUUAAGAUGGGCCCGCGUCCAAUUAGCUAGUUGGUGAGGUAAUGGCUAACCAAGGCGACGACGGGUAGGGGACCUGAGAGGGUGACCCCCCACAAUGGAACUGAAACACGGUCCAUACACCUACGGGUGGCAGCAGUAGGGAAUAUUGCUCAAUGGGCGAAAGCCUGAAGCAGCAACGCCGCGUGUGCGAUGAAGGCCUUCGGGUCGUAAAGCACUUUUCUGGGAGAUGAGAAAGGACAGUAUCCCAGGAAUAAGUCUCGGCUAACUACGUGCCAGCCGCCGCAGUAACAC
rnacentral:rRNA from 1 species